GGAAGUGGAGGAAGGGGUGAGUGAGUAAACGGAGGAGGGAAGCUCGUCGUUUUAACCCCCUAGAGCCUAUCCUCGUCGAGCGCCUCGAGCCA